rnacentral:rRNA from 1 species
AACGAACGCUGGCGGCAUGCCUAACACAUGCAAGUCGAACGAAACCGCCGUGCUUAGUGGCGAACGGGUUCGUGACGCGGGGGAACCUGCCCGUAGGUUCGGAAUAACUCCCCGAGAGGGGUCCUAAUACCGGAUAAUGUCUUCGGACCAAAGAUCUAUCGCCUUUGGAUGGGCCCGCGUUGGAUUAGCUAGUUGGUAGGGUAAAAGCCUGCCAAGGCGACGAUCCAUAGCUGGUCUGAGAGGAUGCUCAGCCACACUGGGACUGAGACACGGCCCAGACUGGUACGGGAGGCAGCAGUGGGGAAUAUUGGACACUGGGCGAAAGCCUGAUACAGCCAUGCCGGGUGAGUGAUGAAGGGCUUAGGAUUGUAAAGCUCUUUUACCCGAGAUGAUAAUGACGGUACCGGGAGAAUAAGCUCCGGCUAACUACGUG